AUGACGACCGGCGCACGGGUGCGCACCGCGUAUGGAACCUGCCUUGUACAGGGGAAUAGCCCAGGGAAACUUGGAUUAAUGCCCCGUAGUACCGUGACCCGGCAUCGGGAUACGGUUAAAGUCUUCGGGCGGUACAAGAUGGCCAUGCGUCCCAUUAGCUAGUUGGUAAGGUAACGGCUUACCAAGGCUACGAUGGGUAGGGGCCCUGAGAGGGGGAUCCCCCACACUGGUACUGAGACACGGACCAGACUCCUACGGGAGGCAGCAGUGAGGAAUAUUGGACAAUGGAGGGGACUCUGAUCCAGCCAUGCCGCGUGCAGGAAGAAUGCCCUAUGGGUAGUAAACUGCUUUUAUACGGGAAGAAAAAGAGCUACGUGUAGCUUACUGACGGUACCGUAAGAAUAAGGACCGGCUAACUCCGUGCCAGCAGCCGCGGUAAUACGGAGGGUCCGAGCGUUAUCCGGAAUUAUUGGGUUUAAAGGGUCCGUAGGCGGGCCGAUAAGUCAGGGGUGAAAGUCUGCCGCUCAACGGUAGAACUGCCUUUGAUACUGUCGGUCUUGAGUUAUAGUGAAGUUGCCGGAAUAUGUAGUGUAGCGGUGAAAUGCAUAGAUAUUACAUAGAACACCGAUUGCGAAGGCAGGUGACUAACUAUAUACUGACGCUGAUGGACGAAAGCGUGGGGAGCGAACAGGAUUAGAUACCCUGGUAGUCCACGCCGUAAACGAUGGAUACUAGCUGUCCGGAACCUUGAGUUCUGGGCGGCCAAGCGAAAGUGAUAAGUAUCCCACCUGGGGAGUACGUUCGCAAGAAUGAAACUC
rnacentral:rRNA from 1 species